AGAGAGACAGGGAAAGUCCCUCAAGAUGAUGAGCUUGCGACAUGGGGGAGGGGAGAGGGACUCCUUCUGGUGAUGCAGAAGGCCUCCGUCUACACAGCAGAGACUGAGAGCCCCUCCUGUCCCAGGGGUGCUGAGAGGUCUGUCUCUGGCUCCCCCACCGCUCCCAUGUCUCUGCUGGGACUGGACCUGUGCCUCCUGGGAUGACCCCCACCAUCCACCCCUAGGCACCAGGACUGAGUCGGCUCUGAAAAGAAAUGGGGAAUGAAGCUUUGGGACUUGGUUCCUGCCUUCAGGGAGCCAAUGGUCCAGCCAGGGGGAUUAGGGUUCAUGUCCCUUCCUGGGCCUCCAGGAGGUCAUGACCUUCAAAGCAAGAAUGAGGAAGCCCACGAUGGUAGCGUGGGGCCCUGCAUGAAGUGCCUGUGACGGGAGAUGGAAGAACUCUGUCAUAUGUCCGUGAGAGUGAAAGGAACCUCAAGCAUUCAAGGAAACCAAACCGGUACCCAAGAUAGAUGAAGAGAUCAGGAAUUUACCAGGUCACAGAGGCUUCUUGGCAGCCACCUGCAGGAGACGGAUAACACCAUGGCCAGGGCCCCCAUGCUCCAUACCGUGUCUGUGACCUCCACAGACUCACUCCACAAUGUGACUUUGGGUAGGUCACAGUACCUGUACGGCCUCAGCUUCCCCACCUGUCAGAUGGGAAGAACAACAGCGCCCUCCCCAUGAAGCCAUCAUGAGCACCACACCAGCUUCACGUCAUGAGGGUCAGCAGGGAGGGCUACGCUGCAUCGUCCUCUCUCAUGACCAUGUCGGGGACAUCUGGAGCAUCACCUGCUUCCAGGCAGGGUGAAGGGAAUGUGGAAUCACUCGCUGACUCCUGCAUGCUUCAGCUCGGAAGUGGCACGCAUCUCUUCCACUCGUAUCUCACUGGCCAAAGCAGAUUACACAGCUGGGCCUAACCCCAAAUGGAAGAAGUGUAGCCCUUCCCUGUUUCCAGAAGAAGAGACAGGCACUGAUGGACAGGGGUGACAGCCUCCCCGCUGCUGUUCCUCGAACGCGCCAGACACGCCCCAGCCCCGGGCCUUUGCCCUGGCUGUUCCCUCUGCCUGGAGUGCCCUUCCCCAAACACCUGCACAGCUCGCCCCUCACCUUCUUUCAGUCUUUGUUCAAAUGUCACCUUCUUGAUGACGCUUUCCCUGACCACCUCACUUAAAACUUCAGAUGUCUCCUGGACACGGGCUGCCAAUCCCCCUUACCUUUACUUUAGCUUUCCACGGUUCUAACAGAUUACCUAAUUACAUAUUUCUUAUGUCUAUUACUAUUGUCUGUUUCCAUCAGCUAGAAGGAAAGCCCCUUGAGGGCAGGGGCAUUUGUUGGUUUUGGUGACUGAUGUAAGCCCAGCUCCCAGGACAGUACCUGGCACCCAGUAGGCACUCUAUACUUUUGCUGCAUGAAUGAGUGAAUGGAUUAGGGGCCCCACUCACCACCAGGUCUCGUUCCCACAUCCUUCAGAGCUUUUCAAUCUACACUUGAAUCCCCAACCCAAACUCGCUGCCUUCCCCAGGCCCUCACUGUUUCUCGUCUGGGUCCCCAACUCAUAACAGCCCCUGACUGUCCCCGGUCUCCAGCAAUCCCCUUCCAAUCCAACACCGCUGUGAAAGGCAGGAUAGCAAGGUGAUUCUGGCGUGGGCUCAGGGUCCUUUCUCUGGCUCUGCUGUUUACCAGCAGUGUGACUUUGGACUGGUUCCUUAACCUUCCUGUGCUCCAGUUCCACAUGUUGUGAUAAUAGCACUUCUCUCAUAGGGGUUACAGUGCUGAGAGGUUUAAAUGAGAUGCUGCAUGCAAAGCACAUUAUAAAUGUGGAUUAUUGCUUUACACUUGCCAGAUCUUGGUACCAGACAAAGGAGAUCCGAAUCUGCUGAAAACUGUCCCUUGGCUCCUGGUAGUUUUCAGUUUCUUCUCUGCACCCAGGGGCCCUCCCAAGCUGGUCUCCUUCUCACUUGCCUGGUCUGUCCCUUCUUGCUCCCGGUCCCACCAAACUCCCCAGGGCCUCCUGAGCCCGUCAUGCUGCCUCCUGCCCUGGCCUGGGCAUUGGGUGUUUUCUCUACUCUUCACUGACUUUUACUUGCUUUCUUACUUAACAGAAAUCCCAGAGCUUUUUUGCACUUUCAUACACAGAAAACUUUCAGAUUUUUUUUU
rnacentral:lncRNA from 1 species